rnacentral:rRNA from 1 species
UACGUAGGGGGCAAGCGUUGUCCGGAAUCAUUGGGCGUAAAGAGCGUGUAGGCGGCUAGAUAAGUCUGCUCUGAAAGCCCGGGGCUCAACCCCGGGAGGCGGGUGGAUACUGUCUAGCUCGAGUCCGGAAGAGGAGUGUGGAAUUCCUGGUGUAGCGGUGAAAUGCGCAGAUAUCAGGAGGAACACCAAUGGCGAAGGCAGCACUCUGGGACGUGACUGACGCUGAGACGCGAAAGCGUGGGGAGCAAACAGG